CCGGCGCCGAAGGAUGUGGCUGCGGCCGAUUAGGUAGACGGUGGGGUAACGGCCCACCGUGCCAAUAAUCGGUACGGGUCAUGAGAGUGAGAACCCGGAGACGGAAUCUGAGACAAGAUUCCGGGCCCUACGGGGCGCAGCAGGCGCGAAACCUUUACACUGCACGCCAGUGCGAUAAGGGGAUCCCAAGUGCGCAGGCAUAGAGCCUGCGCUUUUGUACACCGUAGGGAGGUGUACGAAUAAGGGCUGGGCAAGACCGGUGCCAGCCGCCGCGGUAAUACCGGCAGCCCGAGUGAUGGCCGAUCUUAUUGGGCCUAAAGCGUCCGUAGCUGGCCGCACAAGUCCAUCGGAAAAUCCACCCGCCCAACGGGUGGGCGUCCGGUGGAAACUGUGUGGCUUGGGACCGGAAGGCGCGACGGGUACGUCCGGGGUAGGAGUGAAAUCCCGUAAUCCUGGACGGUCCGCCGAUGGCGAAAGCACGUCGCGAGGACGGAUCCGACAGUGAGGGACGAAAGCCAGGGUCUCGAACCGGAUUAGAUACCCGGGUAGUCCUGGCCGUAAACAAUGUCUGUUAGGUGUGGCUCCCACUACGAGUGGGUGCUGUGCCGUAGGGAAGCCGCUAAACAGACCGCCUGGGAAGUACGUCCGCA
rnacentral:rRNA from 1 species